rnacentral:ncRNA from 2 species
ACUGGCGAUGCGGGAUGAACCGGAAGCCGG